rnacentral:rRNA from 1 species
GUAACAAGGUCUCCGUUGGUGAACCAGCGGAGGGAUCAUUACCGAGUUUACAACUCCCAAACCCCUGUGAACAUACCACUUGUUGCCUCGGCGGAUCAGCCCGCUCCCGGUAAAACGGGACGGCCCGCCAGAGGACCCCUAAACUCUGUUUCUAUAUGUAACUUCUGAGUAAAACCAUAAAUAAAUCAAAACUUUCAACAACGGAUCUCUUGGUUCUGGCAUCGAUGAAGAACGCAGCAAAAUGCGAUAAGUAAUGUGAAUUGCAGAAUUCAGUGAAUCAUCGAAUCUUUGAACGCACAUUGCGCCCGCCAGUAUUCUGGCGGGCAUGCCUGUUCGAGCGUCAUUUCAACCCUCAAGCACAGCUUGGUGUUGGGACUCGCGUUAAUUCGCGUUCCUCAAAUUGAUUGGCGGUCACGUCGAGCUUCCAUAGCGUAGUAGUAAAACCCUCGUUACUGGUAAUCGUCGCGGCCACGCCGUUAAACCCCAACUUCUGAAUGUUGACCUCGGAUCAGGUAGGAAUACCCGCUGAACUUAAGCAU